rnacentral:rRNA from 1 species
AUUGAACGCUGGCGGCAGGCUUAACACAUGCAAGUCGAACGAGUGGCGGACGGGUGAGUAAUGUUUGGGAAUCUAGCUUAUGGAGGGGGAUAACUACGGGAAACUGUAGCUAAUACCGCGUACCAUAGGAUGAGCCCAGGUGGGAUUAGGUAGUUGGUGAGGUAAAGGCUCACCAAGGCGACGAUCCCUAGCUGGUCUGAGAGGAUGACCAGCCACACUGGGACUGAGACACGGCCCAGACUCCUACGGGAGGCAGCAGUGGGGAAUAUUGCACAAUGGGCGCAAGCCUGACGCAGCCAUGCCGCGUGUGUGAAGAAGGCCUUCGGGUUGUAAAGUACUUUCGGUGGGGAGGCGUUAACUGCAGAAGAAGCACCGGCUAACUCCGUGCCAGCAGCCGCGGUAAUAC